GGAUACAUCAAGAACGAUUAAAAGAAUUGGCUGAACAAAUAUCACAGUAUAUUCCAGAAGAGGAAACAUAUUAUGUUCCCUACAAAAAAUUGCUUAACAAAAAAUCUAAUGCCAAAGAUAAACUGUAUGAUAAACACGUAAACUUUUUACGAAGUUUGCGAAAUAAUGGAUUGGCUCCUCUCUCCAGAAAUACAAUUGAGACUCAGACUGCACCAAUUGUAAGUGAAAAUAUUAAAGGCCAAUUAGAAUGGCUACGCACUCAUAAGGAACCAUUUGAGGAUGUAAAGGCGAGAUGGGAAGCAACUCAUGAAGCUAGACUUUAUAUACUACAAAAAAUACACAAAGUACACAAUCUAUUUCUGAUUAUAUAAACGACUUUAGUGUUUUGCAACUGAGUACUGGUUAUAUAUUGCUGUUAUCAGAUUUUAACAAAUUAUACUCAAAUUAUGAUUUGCACAUGUGGAGUAAAUGGCCUUCUUUCUCACAAAAAAUAUGUACACUUCUGAAAUUAAAAGAUGAAAGUGAUUUUGUUAUUUUUAUGAGUUUGGGAAAUCUUUUCACUCCUACUCCAGUACAACUAGAAAAUAAUAAAAGGUGGAAGCCAAACGCUCAAGAAAUACUUGAUAG